rnacentral:rRNA from 1 species
GGGGGAAUUUUGGACAAUGGGGGCAACCCUGAUCCAGCCAUGCCGCGUGAGUGAAGAAGGCCUUCGGGUUGUAAAGCUCUUUCGGCCGGGAAGAAAUCGCGCCAGCUAAUACCUGGUGUGGAUGACGGUACCGGAAGAAGAAGCACCGGCUAACUACGUGCCAGCAGCCGCGGUAAUACGUAGGGUGCGAGCGUUAAUCGGAAUUACUGGGCGUAAAGCGUGCGCAGGCGGCUCUAUAAGACAGAUGUGA